UGGUCACAAAAGAAAAGGACAUUCGUUAC
rnacentral:piRNA from 1 species